GACGAACGCUGGCGGCGUGCUUAACACAUGCAAGUCGAACGGACAGGCCCUGGUUCUGUGGGGUGGUCGAGUGGCGAACGGGUGAGUACCACUUGAGUAACCUGCCUUUGACUUUGGGAUAACUUUAGGAAAUUGGGGCUAAUACCGGAUAGGUUCUCCUGCUGCAUGGUGGGGGUUGGUAAUUUUCGGCGGUUUGGGAUGGAAUCGCGGCUUAUCAGCUUGCUGGAGGGGUAGUGGGUUACUAAUGCAUUGAACGGUAGCCGGGCUGCGCGGGUGACCGGACACAUUGGGACUGAGAUGCGGCCCAGACUCCAACGGGAGGGAGCGGUGGGGAAGAGUGUACUAGAGGCGGAAGCCUAGUGCAGCACCGCCGCGUGCGGGGUGAGGGCCUUCGCGUUGUAUUGCGAAUUCGCUUGUGACGGGACGUGAAUGACGGUAAUGGGUGAAGAAGCCCCGGCUAACUACGUG
rnacentral:rRNA from 1 species